rnacentral:rRNA from 1 species
AGAGUUUGAUCAUGGCUCAGGACGAACGCUGGCGGCGUGCUUAACACAUGCAAGUCGUACGGUAAGGCCCUUUCGGGGGUACACGAGUGGCGAACGGGUGAGUAACACGUGAGUAACCUGCCCACAACUUUGGGAUAACGCUAGGAAACUGGUGCUAAUACUGGAUAUGUGCUCCUGCUGCAUGGUGGGGGUUGGAAAGCUCCGGCGGUUGUGGAUGGACUCGCGGCCUAUCAGCUUGUUGGUGGGGUAGUGGCCUACCAAGGCGGCGACGGGUAGCCGGCCUGAGAGGGUGACCGGCCACAUUGGGACUGAGAUACGGCCCAGACUCCUACGGGAGGCAGCAGUGGGGAAUAUUGCACAAUGGGCGCAAGCCUGAUGCAGCAACGCCGCGUGCGGGAUGACGGCCUUCGGGUUGUAAACCGCUUUCAGCAGGGACGAAGCUUUUUGUGACGGUACCUGCAGAAGAAGCACCGACUAACUACGUGCCAGCAGCCGCGGUAAU